rnacentral:rRNA from 1 species
AUUGAACGCUGGCGGCAGGCCUAACACAUGCAAGUCGGGCGAGUGGCGGACGGGUGAGUAAUGUCUGGGGAUCUGCCUGAUGGAGGGGGAUAACUACUGGAAACGGUAGCUAAUACCGCAUACCAUCAGAUGAACCCAUAUGGGAUUAGCUUGUAGGUGAGGUAACGGCUCACCAAGGCGACGCUCCCUAGCUGGUCUGCGAGGAUGAACAGCCACACUGUGAAUGAGAAACGGCCCAGACUCCUACGGUAUGCAGCAGUGGGGAAUAUUGCACAAUGGGAGCAAGCCUGAUGCAGCCAUGCCGCGUGUAUGAAGAAGGCCUUAGGGUUGUAAAGUACUUUCAGCGGGGAGGCGUUACCCGCAGAAGAAGCACCGGCGAACUCCGUGCCAGCAGCCGCGGUAAUUC